ensembl:lncRNA
CUCAUGCCUUAUUGUCCCAGCCCCUGCUGCAAACUCUGGUUAGUUUUCCACCCUGCCCCUGCAGGCCUGCAUUUUAAAGAAUCCACCAGCUCCUUGGUCUCCUCACUAUGGCUGCUAGUUGCCUGCUAACCCCAGUCAUUCUUACGAGGGAAAUGCCUGGUUACUACAGGGAUGAGAAUGAGAGACUCUGGAAGGUUGUAGGCCUGGCAAUUGCUAUCGACCAUCCCCCUGAUAAUCAGCAUGGAGUCAUUAUCAAUGUCAAAUUGAUGAAGGAGGGCGAAAGCUCCACACAACACCCGUCCUACUUCUUGUCAAGGUUCACAUUUCUCCCCAGUAUGUGGGGGAUACACUCUGAGAGUACAUACACAGGGACAGACUCAAGCCUCUGGAUAAAAAAGGACCAUUUCCAGGUUAAUGACAGAGAAUACCUGGUCCUAGUGAUGAACGAUGAACAAGAUCUCCAGUCCAGCAGUGUCUCCUGCUCGGAUCAGCCCUGAAAUUCAGAUGAUCUGCUUCUGUGAGCCUGUCUGGCUCUGUCCUGACUCUUCUCCCUUCCUGGGUACUGCUUGACUUUCUUGUCUCCAUUUUCCUCUGAUGCUGACCUCACAGAUUGUCUUUAUAAGACAACCAUUCCCUUUGAACUCCUCUCCUGGGGAACCAGUGCUGCAUGACCCUCUGAUCUGGAGGUUCCUGUGGAGCAGGUAUGGAUGGGGACUCCAUGUCCUGUGGAUCUCUGAGCUACCAAUACUGACUAGAAAUUGAUCUGGAACCAGGCAGAGGACUUGUGCUCAGUGGCUUGAAGACACCAUGGGAUGAAUACAGGGAGCAUCUGGUGUACUUCUCCCACGGCUCAGUACUUGGCUCCUAGAAGUGAUGCUUACCACAACCCCCACCCCAAACUUGUUUUUAACUAAUUAAACUUUACUAUUUUACUUAAA